GAGCUCCGUGGGUAGAGCAUGAGACUCUUAAUCUCAAAAGUCAUGGGUUCGAGUCCUGCCUUGGGCA